GAUGAACGCUGGCGGCGUGCCUAACACAUGCAAGUCGAACGAAGCUUGACGGAUGAUUUCUUCGGAAUGAAACCAGAUAUGACUUAGUGGCGGACGGGUGAGUAACACGUGAGCAACCUGCCUUUCAGAGGGGGAUAACGGCUGGAAACGGUCGCUUAUACCGCAUGAUGUGUUCGGAUGGCAUCAUCUGAACAUUAACGAUUUAUCGCUGAAAGAUGGGCUCUCGUCUGAUUAGAUAGUUGGUGGGGUAACGGCCUACCAAGUCUACGAUCAGUAGCCGGACUGAGAGGAGGAACGGCCACAUUGGGACUGAGAUACGGCCCAGACUCCUACGGGAGGAAGCAGUGGGGAAUAUUGCACAAUGGGGGAAAGCCUGAUGCAGCAACGCCGCGUGAAGGAUGACGGUUUUCGGAUUGUAAACUUCUUUUCUUAGUGACGAAGACAGUGACGGUAGCUAAGGAAUAAGCAUCGGCUAACUACGUG
rnacentral:rRNA from 1 species